rnacentral:rRNA from 1 species
CCUUCCGGUGAGCCUUCGUUUAACGGACGCGGUAAACGUGCAAAGGUAGCUAAAUUAUGGCCUAUUAAUUGUAGGCCCUGUGAAUGGUUUGACGAGUCUUCAACUGUCUCUAGUUUGGUUUGGUGAACUUGAAUUGGAAGUGCAAAUGCUUCUGUGGGUAAGAAAGACGAGAAGACCCCGUGAAGUUAGAAAUUAGGUUAGGGGGGUGCAAUUUUGGCUGGGGCAGCAAAGGAGCAAAACUAGACUCCUCUCAGUCGGGUGCGUGUGAUCCACAGUGUUGUGAUUAUCAGAAAAAGUUACUCCGGGGAUAACAGCGUUAUCACCCCGAUAGUUCUUAUAGACGGGUAGGUUUGCGACCUCGAUGUUGCUCUGGGUACCCUGGGGCUUGAGGAGGUCCUAACGGUUGGUUCGUU